CGCGCAAAAAAUUCGCCACAUACACAUAAACAUACAUACAAACACACGGAUCAGAUACGCAUUACACUUAUACUAAUCGACUAGUAUCCAGUACAGAGCUUGGACUUCUUGCCUAUAGGUUUUUCUCCUCCCGCUGAACGUUUGUCUGUUGAUACACACACAGUUUGAAACUUCAUUUCUCAAGAAUAUUUAGAUGGCGGAACAUGUGGGUGGUGUAGAAUGUGUGGACCGAAGUGAAACGGCAGAGCAGCUCUAGCGAAAGCAACUAGCAACCAUUAAAGCUACAGCAAAGAAGGGGAAUAACUGUGUAAAAUAGGAUAAAAGCGAGUGCGAAUGAAGUGAGAACAAAGUGAAAGUUAAAGUUGUGACGGCAUAUUGGACAGAGAGUAUAACACAAAUCAAUCGGUAAGAAGAAUGACAACAAAAAGGGCAAACAAAUGGAAAACAAGGAAAAGCGUGGUACCACAGUUACCUGAAAUGAUAAGGUUUCGUCAAACAAAACACUCUUACUUAUUCGCUAUCCAACACACCACACGAAGAAAGACGCAAACACUGAACACACGGAAUGCAGGAUCAAAAAAGGAUAAUCCAACAAAGUAAAGAGAAAGUACGGGUGUGCUUGCUUGUGUGUACGAUGAGUGUUAUUGUCUUUAUUGUUGACUGGUUAGCGUGUGUGCGGAUGGGAGCAUUUCACCGGAUCAGUUCACUGACGAGCCUAGAAGCCUAGACCUUCCUAAUCCUAUUCUUCCGCGAACGUACCGUAAGCACGAAACGAAACGAUUACAUUUGUUACCAAACGUUAGUCUCACGCUAAUUUUUCCUCUCUCUUGAAUAAAACAAAUCCGGGCACGUGGUGGCGUGUUUGCUAAUGGAAAAUGGAUGGCAAAAGUACGGUAAAUAGUGCAACGUUUGAAAAUAUAGCUCGUUUCCUUCACAAGCAUGCACCGGAUGGGAAGCGCAGGUGAAAGAAAAGAAGGACCCCCGGUAUCACACCUUGCAGACGCAGAAGACACAACAGGUACACCCGCGCGAACCCGCUAGAAACGAUUGUUUUGUACAGUUGGUAUAGUUCAUUGGCAGAUAUGUUGUGCGACAGAAUGCGAAAUUGGAAAUGCUACUGCUGUAAAAAGAAAACGAGGAAAAUAGGGCAAAUCGCUAUCAUCUGAGGAUGGCUCCUCACCGCUACGUGCAAGAAACCGAUUGAAGCCCGAAUUGUGAUUAAACUUCUCUUAUCAAAACAUCUUUCGAAUAAUCGCAUAGCAGUGCCGUUUGGUGAGCAUGGUUAAUAGGAAUGACCAACUACAUUGCGCGACACAUUGGUGACUCAGCAUAGCAAAACCCUGACACUAAGCUAAUUCUCUAAAGCAAGUACACACAAACACACUCAAAAGAAAAACUUGUAAAAAGCUAAAUCAAUAAUAAACAAGAAAAAAAUCAGAAAACAAACAAAAGUCCAUUCUGUGGAUGUGUCAGCGAAAUCGUAUCGCAUCGGUGAGAAUGAUGUCGAAAAAACAACACAUAAAAGAAGAAAAACGGAUAUUGAGAAAAUCAUGAAAAAUUGGAAGAAAGAAAUGAAAAAAAGAAACCCAAAAAAAACACAAAAAUUACAAAACCAAACAAAAUAUAUUUGCUAUAUACCAUUUGCCUUGCACUGAUAUAAAAAAGAGGGAAAGAGAGAGCGUCAGAGAAAGAAAAGGAAGAGAGAGCAGAACAAAGCGUAGAACGGGCGAAGAGAAAGAGCUGGAAAACUCUGGAUGUACAUGAUAAACCAACGGCGAGAACCAAAUUCGGUACAGUACCAUAAUGCUUACUGCGCAGAAUGUGAAAAUGCGAAGUAUCUGUUGGUCGUAAUUGUGUACAGACAGAAGCCGGAUUUAUUAAGUUGUAUGCGGACAAAUGCAAAUAUGGCACUUCCUCCAACAGUUCCUCCAAUGCAAAUGUCUCGUGCUGCAGCAGCAAGAAAAUCAUGAACCUUUUUGCGGUUAUGGUUUUGGCUUACGCAAAUGUUUUCAAAUACUCUGCUUAAUCAUCCGGGCCUUCUCCGGGGUUUGCGGGAUGGUUAGAUGGUGGCAUAAUGCAAUGAGAGCUUUCCAAAACAUUUUCAAUAACUUCCUUUACUUCCAUUCCUUAUUAUUGCCAUUGAGGGUGACCUCACUAUAAACAAAGAGAAAAAAUGGUUGCCCCCCCCCGUGUAUGUUGGGUUUUUGAAGAUUCCAGACUCAUGGAAGAAUGAUCAUGCAAACGAUAACCGAUCGCUUAUCAACUCCGCCUGCAUUACCAUUUGUCAUUUUUCAACUGUAAAACAACAGCAUUCGCUAAUCUGGGAGGUGGCUGGGAACGAGUGGUUAAAGAGUGUUUGUUAAAAAAGAGAGAGAGAGAGAGAAAAAGAGGAAGAAGAAAUUGGUUACGGGUCCUUUAUUCAUACACCGUUCGCUUUUAAGGCAUGCGUAAACUUUCUCUAAGUCGAACCGAAAGCAAAUGCUCGCAUAAAACCCAUCACUAGCAAGGAUGAGAGAACUCGUCCAGAAGCAGAGCGUUGGGAUAACGAUGGAGCAGAAAAAAAAACACGCGACAGGUAGUCGUCGAUAGUUAGUCCUUAAAGAAGCAGAUUUCAAACCGAGCAUAAUGAGGGGAUCAGUAUCCAAAGGUGGGGACGGCGAGCACUAGCGAACAACAGAUAGUAUGCAAAUGCUUAUCCAUACACAGAGCUGGACACGUACAUACUAAACACAACAACAACAACAACACAUACACCCCUUCCACUCUCACAUCGCCAUUCUCAGCUACGCAAAUCUCUCCCUCCCUCCCCCUUCUUGCACCAGAACGUGGGGGUGGUGCUACGAAAAAAAAACACUUUCACUACAUGCGGCGGUAGCGUGAAAGUGACUAGGAAAAGUUGGUAAUUGGAAAACGAAAACACAAAAGCCUCCUUGUCCCCUCUUGCCUCACGUACACCUUACCACAUAAUAUAAAUGAUAUGUGCAGAGAGAAGGAAAGAUAAACAGUGGAAAAUAGGUAGAGGGAGGAGGAGAAAGAAGGGGAGGGGGAGAUGGAAAGGAGGAAAAUAAGAGAAAACCGAAAGGGGAAAGAAAAAAAAUGCGAAAGCAAACCAAAAAUAUUGAUUAAUUCUUUAUUGUUGCCACAUUUAAAUUAAAUUUAAACAAAUAUUAAAAACUUAAUGAAAAACCAAAACUUGAAAAAAGUAAACCAAAAAAAGCAAAAACAAAAACCAACAAACCAAAACCCGAAGAAUGAUGAUUUGUAAAUAUAUGAUGAAAAAAAUAAAAUAAUUUUUAUCUAGUCUUGCGUUUUCUUUGCAAAGCCCCCCCUCCCGCGCGUGUCGGUGAAUGCUAACGCUAGCUAAGAGGAGGUAGCGUGGUCACCUUGCACUGCUCUCGAAACGGGCCCAUUUCUUUCCAUUGUAAGGGUUACCCAUGUGCUCGGGAUGUGUGUUAGCUUAACCUGCUUUAUUAUACACUCAUUCCGCGUUCAAUGCCCGUCCAUGACUGCUAAACUCGGUCUCGCUAAUAAUGCGCAUGCGAUCGAUAAUGGUGCCUUAGAGGCGGUUACGAUAAUUCAGUAGCUUCUUUACUUCCGUCUUUUUAUACAAUCCAGGCGUAUGUACUAAACGUAUGAUUGAAUCAACACACUAUCCGAGCAAACUUAAAGUAGUCACUCAAAAUUACCCUGCACUACAACCGUGGGCAGUUUAAAUUAUGCCGUACCGCAGACAUGUAACAUCAAAGCAUGCGAUCUAAGCGUUCCGUGUCUCAUAGAAAUCCUACCAAUGAAUCCUGUUGGAAUGAAAAGGCCAACAAAGCCCUUCAAUUAUGUGCUGCUUUUUACUUAAAUGGUAAAUUUAUCAUUUUCUGCUUUCAAGGUACUUAGCGAUCGAUCGCUCGAUUGUGUUGCUAUUGUUUUUAAUGAAUUUCAUCGUCGUGAUCGUUUAAACAAUUGAAUCGCAACAGUGCACCAUUGAUGAAGCUUUGAAACUGAAAAAAACGGGACACGGUCACAGGUAAGCCGCAUUCGGAUGACAAGGUACCUACUCCCGGGAAACAAAAGAAAACAAUGUUCGGUUUAAUGGUUGUUCUAUGAAGCGGGAUCGUGCCACUCUCUCUUGUGUUUUUAUAAA